CAGCAGUCGCCGCGGUAAUACGUAGGUGGCAAGCGUUGUCCGGAAUUAUUGGGCGUAAAGGGCUCGCAGGCGGUUUCUUAAGUCUGAUGUGAAAGCCCCCGGCUCAACCGGGGAGGGUCAUUGGAGACUGGGAAACUCGAGUGCAGAAGAGGAGAGUGGAAUUCCACGUGUAGCGGUGAAAUGCGUAGAGAUGUGGAGGAACACCAGUGGCGAAGGCGACUCUCUGGUCUGUAACUGACGCUGAGGAGCGAAAGCGUGGGGAGCAAAUGGGAUUAGAUACCCGCGUAGUCCCUGUCUCUUAUAU
rnacentral:rRNA from 1 species